rnacentral:rRNA from 1 species
UACAGAGGGGGCAAGCGUUGUUCGGAAUUACUGGGCGUAAAGGGCGCGUAGGCGGCCUGCUAAGUCGAACGUGAAAUCCCCGGGCUCAACCCGGGAACUGCGUCCGAUACUGGCAGGCUUGAAUUCGGGAGAGGGAUGCGGAAUUCCAGGUGUAGCGGUGAAAUGCGUAGAUAUCAGGAGGAACACCGGUGGCGAAGGCGGCUACCUGGACAGAGUCUGACGCUGAGGCACGAAAGCUAGGGGAGCAAACAGG